GGAAGCUGAGGAGUCCCAUAAUAGGAGGAAACGGCCGUCCAGUGC
rfam:Schistosoma mansoni strain Puerto Rico chromosome 6, complete genome